rnacentral:rRNA from 1 species
UACAGAGGGUGCGAGCGUUAAUCGGAAUUACUGGGCGUAAAGCGUGCGCAGACGGUCACGUAAGUCGGGUGUGAAAGCCCCGGGCUCAACCUGGGAAUUGCAUUCGAGACUGCGUGGCUAGGGUGCGGAAGAGGGAAGCGGAAUUUCCGGUGUAGCGGUGAAAUGCGUAGAUAUCGGAAGGAACACCAGUGGCGAAAGCGGCUUCCUGGUCCAGCACCGACGUCAGGCACGAAAGCGUGGGGAGCAAACAGGA